CAAUAGCGUAUAUUAAAGUUGUUGCGGUUAAAAAGCUCGUAGUUGGAUUUCUGCCGAGGACGACCGGUCCGCCCUCUGGGUGAGUAUCUGGUUCGGCCUGGGCAUCUUCUUGGAGAACGUAUCUGCACUUGACUGUGUGGUGCGGUAUCCAGGACUUUUACUUUGAGGAAAUUAGAGUGUUCAAAGCAGGCAUUGGCUUGAAUACAUUAGCAUGGAAUAAUAGAAUAGGACUUUGGUUCUAUUUUUGUUGGUUUCUAGGACCGAAGUAAUGAUUAAUAGGGACAGUUGGGGGCAGUUAGAUUUAAUUGUUACAGAGGUGAAA
rnacentral:rRNA from 1 species